AGCGGAGGAAAAGAAACCAACAGGGAUUGCCCUAGUAACGGCGAGUGAAGCGGCAACAGCUCAAAUUUGAAAUCUGGCUAUCUUACCGUAGUCCGAGUUGUAAUUUGUAGAGGAUGCUUUUGGUGAGGUGCCUUCCGAGUUCCCUGGAACGGGACGCCAUAGAGGGUGAGAGCCCCGUACGGUUGGAUACCAAGCCUUUGUAUAGCUCCUUCAACGAGUCGAGUAGUUUGGGAAUGCUGCUCUAAAUGGGAGGUAUAUCUCUUCUAAAGCUAAAUAUAGGCUAGAGACCGAUAGCGCACAAGUAGAGUGAUCGAAAGAUGAAAAGCACUUUGAAAAGAGAGUUAAACAGCACGUGAAAUUGUUGAAAGGGAAGCGCCUAUGACCAGACUUGUUUCUGGCAGUUUCGUUAGCCCUCGGGCUGAUUUACUCUGUCCAGUACAGGCCAGCAUCAGUUUGCUGUCGGGGAGAAAGGCUCUGGGAACGUAGCUCCCCCCUUCUGGGGGGGAGUGUUAUAGCCCUCUGCAUAAUACCCUUCGGCAGACUGAGGACCGCGCUUCGGCAAGGAUGCUGGCGUAAUGGUCAUCAGCGACCCGUCUUGAAACACGGACCAAGGAGUCAACCUUAUGUGCGAGUGUUUGGGUGUAAAACCCCAGCGCGUAAUGAAAGUGAACGUAGGUGAGAGCUUCGGCGCAUCAUCGACCGAUUCUGAUGUUUUCGGAUGGAUUUGAGUAAGAGCACACAGGGUUGGACCCGAAAGAAGGUGAACUAUGCUUGUAUAGGGUGAAGCCAGAGGAAACUCUGGUGGAGGCUCGCAGCGGUUCUGACGUGCAAAUCGAUCGUCAAAUAUGAGCAUGGGGGCGAAAGACUAAUCGAACCUUCUAGUAGCUGGUUCCAGCCGAAG
rnacentral:rRNA from 1 species